AACGUACGCUGGCGGCACGCCUAACACAUGCAAGUCGAACGAAGUAGCAAUACUUAGUGGCAGACGGGUGAGUAACAUGUAGGUAUCUGCCCUUUGGCCUGGAAUAACACGAGGAAACUUGUGCUAAUACCGGAUAGGUCUUUACGGAGAAAGCUUUAUGCACCAUUGGAUGAGCCUGCACUUGAUUAGUUUGUUGGUGGGGUAAUGGCCUACCAAGACUGUGAUCAAUAGCUGAUUUGAGAGGAUGAUCAGCCACAUUGGGACUGAGACACGGCCCAAACUCCUACGGGAGGCAGCAGUGGGGAAUCUUGCACAAUGGAGGAAACUCUGAUGCAGCGAUGCCGCGUGAGUGAAGAAGGCCCUUGGGUUGUAAAGCUCUUUCGUCGGGGAAGAAAAUGACUGUACCCGAAUAAGAAGGUCCGGCUAACUUCGUGCCAGCAGCCGCGGUAAUACGAAGGGACCUAGCGUAGUUCGGAAUUACUGGGCUUAAAGAGUUCGUAGGUGGUUGAAAAAGUUGGUGGUGAAAUCCCAGAGCUUAACUCUGGAACUGCCAUCAAAACUUUUCAGCUAGAGUUUGAUAGAGGAAAGCAGAAUUUCUAGUGUAGAGGUGAAAUUCGUAGAUAUUAGAAAGAAUACCGAUUGCGAAGGCAGCUUUCUGGAUCAUUACUGACACUGAGGAACGAAAGCAUGGGUAGCGAAGAGGAUUAGAUACCCUCGUAGUCCAUGCCGUAAACGAUGCGUGUUAGACGUUGGAAAUUUAUUUUCAGUGUCGCAGCGAAAGCGAUAAACACACCGCCUGGGGAGUACGACCGCAAGGUUA
rnacentral:rRNA from 1 species